rnacentral:rRNA from 1 species
UACGUAGGGGGCAAGCGUUGUCCGGAUUUAUUGGGCGUAAAGAGCGUGUAGGCGGUUUGGUAGGUCCGUUGUGAAAACUCGAGGCUCAACCUCGAGACGCCGAUGGAAACCAUCAGACUAGAGUCCGGAAGAGGAGAGUGGAAUUCCUGGUGUAGCGGUGAAAUGCGCAGAUAUCAGGAAGAACACCCGUGGCUAAGGCGGCUCUCUAGUACGGUACUGACGCUGAGACGCGAAAGCGUGGGGAGCAAACAGG